rnacentral:piRNA from 1 species
UGGUAGGCAUACUUGGAGAACAUAUCCCAC